GAGGAGGAGCAGGAGGAGGAGGAGCAGGAGGAGGGAGAGAGGAGGAUUUGGAAAAGGAGGAACAGGAGGAGGAAGAGGAAGAGCUGCAGCAGAACCACAGGGUUUUCCCGCCCACCCGCUGAGUCUGCAGCUCUCCUGGCCCUGGCAGCCUCGACCCCCCCCAGAUCUCACAGGUGAGUGGGGAGGGGGAGCUUGCCCCAAAUCCAUCGGGGAAUCUCUGGGAGGGUUUGUUUGCAGGAGAGGGGAUGUUUGGAUCUUGCAGGGCCCCAGGGGUGAGAACAGAUGCCCCUUUGGAGAAUUAUGGAGGGUUCCUGUGGCAAUCUCUGUACUGGCUGGGGAGGUGGUACCAGUUGGGGGUGGACAUUGGCAUCAGAAUGGGGAGAGCAGCAAGAGCCAAUCCCGGAGCUGGGGGAUCCCAGCAGCCUGGAGGAGUGGGGGAGGCUGGAGAUGAGCAGGGUCUGGGCCUGCCCAGCGGUGGACAGGGCGGUUACUUCUGGAGCUGGACUUGGGCAGUGGGACCAAGGGUCUCAGCUGUUGUUUUUCCCCCAAGCCAGGAUUUGUCAAUCCCAAACUUUGUCUGGAUGGAGGUGGAGGAGGCUGCAAGGAAAAGGAAGAAUGGUGUGGGACACUGAGGCAGCUGAGGAGGAAGUCACUGCCCCUUUCCUCCUCUCCUCUGCUCCACCUAUCAGCCCAGCAUUUCCUGUGCCUGCAGGCCAAGGCCAUCCUGCCAGGGAUGAAUUGGUGGGAUCUCCUUCCCCUUCCCUGUGGCACAAUGCCCAGGCACUGAGCUGCAGACGGAGACCAGGGAGAGCAAAUCCCUGCUGCAGAACCUCAUGGAAGAGGCUGUUUGGAGCAGCUCCAUGGCACAGGAAUCCAGUGGGGAGGAAAAGCCCUGGAGAUCCCACACAAGGAGGGGCUGCAGAUUCCCUGGAGAUGUAAAUAGGAAAGAUGCCCCCUAUGCCAGGAAGGCAGCUGGAGAUCCAUUUGGAACUCAGAGGUGGUGGAGAGGACUCAUGGCAGGCAGAAGCCCCACAAGUACUUGGGAUGUGGGAAGGGCUUCAGCCAGAGCUCUGGAGCUCACACCUGGUCCAGGUGAUCCCCACAGGGAACUGGCCCUACAAGUGUGGGGAGUGUGGGAAGGGCUUUGGGUGGAGCUCCAACCUCAUCAGUCACCGCAAGAUCCACACCAGGAGAGACCCUGUGAGUGUCCCAAGUGUAGGAAGUGGUUUCUGAGCAGCUCCAAUCUCAUCAUAAUGAAUCAAGGGAUCAGCUGGAAAUGUAUUUACAAUAAUUGAAAACUGUGGAUGAGUUGAGGGGCUAGCUGGGAAUAUAAUUGAGAUAGUAGAAGAUUACAUAUUUUAGUUAAGAUUUAAAAUUAGUUAAGAAGCUAAGUUAACUAGCAAAAAUCACAUACCUUAGUGAAAGAGUAACAAAUAUAUUAGAAAGUAAAGCCAGGAGUGACAGAGAUAGAUGUAGCAAUUGUGAAGGAGCAGAGACCAUAGAAAUACCUUGCCUUAAGAAUAAUCAAACAGUUUUAUAAUCACAGUCUAAAGAAGAAUAAUCACAGUCCAAACAGAGAGGCUUGGACUGUGACCAGCAGAUCACAAAGUCCUGCAAACUGGCCAUGGGUGAGGAGUUUACCAUGAGGAAGACAGCUUUCUUCCUUCCAUAUGCCCACUCCUUUAUUUCAAAAUCCCACUGACCCAAUUAAGGGAGGGCAAUUGCGCAGCCAUAUUAGGUAUUCAGCUGAUUAUAACACAAAGUGGGCAGGUAAUGAUUCUGUAUUCUGCCUCCUUAGAAACUGCCUGGAUAUGUAAAACCUUUUCUGUAUAAACAGAGAGCAGGAGUCUGCCACUCCUUGCACAUGCAUUUGGAAAUGAUUCCUCAUGUGUCCAGUGCUGAAAUAAAACAGCCUUCUUUUGAACUUUAA